rnacentral:rRNA from 1 species
GAUGAACGCUGGCGGCGUGCCUAAUACAUGCAAGUCGAGCGAACGGACGAGAAGCUUGCUUCUCUGAUGUUAGCGGCGGACGGGUGAGUAACACGUGGAUAACCUACCUAUAAGACUGGGAUAACUUCGGGAAACAGGAGCUAAUACCGGAUAAUAUUUUGAACCGCAUGGUUCAAAAGUGAAAGACGGUCUUGCUGUCACUUAUAGAUGGAUCCGAGCUGCAUUAGCUAGUUGGUAAGGUAACGGCUUACCAAGGCAACGAUGCAUAGCCGACCUGAGAGGGUGAUCGGCCACACUGGAACUGAGACACGGUCCAGACUCCUACGGGAGGCAGCAGUAGGGAAUCUUCGGCAAUGGGCGAAAGCCUGACGGAGCAACGCCGCGUGAGUGAUGAAGGUCUUCGGAUCGUAAAACUCUGUUAUUAGGGAAGAACAUAUGUGUAAGUAACUGUGCACAUCUUGACGGUACCUAAUCAGAAAGCCACGGCUAACUACGUG